rnacentral:rRNA from 1 species
GAUGAACGCUGGCGGCGUGCCUAAUACAUGCAAGUCGAGCGAACGGACGAGAAGCUUGCUUCUCUGAUGUUAGCGGCGGACGGGUGAGUAACACGUGGAUAACCUACCUAUAAGACUGGGAUAACUUCGGGAAACCGGAGCUAAUACCGGAUAAUAUUUUGACCCGCAAGGUUCAAAAGUGAAAGAAGGUCUUGCGGUCAGUUAUAGAUGGAUCCGCGCUUCAUUAGCAAGUUGGUAAGGUAACGGCUUACCAAGGCAACGAUGCAUAGCCGACCUGAGAGCGUCGUCGCCCACACGGUCUCUGAGACACGGCCCAGACUCCUACGGUAGGCAGCAGUAGGGACUCCUCCGCAAUGCGCCAAAGCCGAACGGUGCAACGCCGCGUGAGUGAUGAUGGUCUUCUGACCGUAAAGCUCUGUUAUUAUUGAAGAACAUAUGUGUAAGUAACUGUGCACAUCUUGACGGUACCUAAUCAGAAAGCCACGGCUAACUACGUG